rnacentral:rRNA from 2 species
CCCCGGUAAACGGCGGCCGUAACUAUAACGGUCCUAAGGUAGCGAAAUUCCUUGUCGGGUAAGUUCCGACCUGCACGAAUGGCGUAAUGAUGGCCAGGCUGUCUCCACCCGAGACUCAGUGAAAUUGAACUCGCUGUGAAGAUGCAGUGUACCCGCGGCAAGACGGAAAGACCCCGUGAACCUUUACUAUAGCUUGACACUGAACAUUGAGCCUUGAUGUGUAGGAUAGGUGGGAGGCUUUGAAGUGUGGACGCCAGUCUGCAUGGAGCCGACCUUGAAAUACCACCCUUUAAUGUUUGAUGUUCUAACGUGGACCCGUAAUCCGGGUUGCGGACAGUGUCUGGUGGGUAGUUUGACUGGGGCGGUCUCCUCCUAAAGAGUAACGGAGGAGCACGAAGGUUGGCUAAUCCUGGUCGGACAUCAGGAGGUUAGUGCAAUGGCAUAAGCCAGCUUGACUGCGAGCGUGACGGCGCGAGCAGGUGCGAAAGCAGGUCAUAGUGAUCCGGUGGUUCUGAAUGGAAGGGCCAUCGCUCAACGGAUAAAAGGUACUCCGGGGAUAACAGGCUGAUACCGCCCAAGAGUUCAUAUCGACGGCGGUGUUUGGCACCUCGAUGUCGGCUCAUCACAUCCUGGGGCUGAAGUAGGUCCCAAGGGUAUGGCUGUUCGCCAUUUAAAGUGGUACGCGAGCUGGGUUUAGAACGUCGUGAGACAGUUCGGUCCCUAUCUGCCGUGGGCGCUGGAGAACUGAGGGGGGCUGCUCCUAGUACGAGAGGACCGGAGUGGACGCAUCACUGGUGUUCGGGUUGUCAUGCCAAUGGCACUGCCCGGUAGCUAAAUGCGGAAGAGAUAAGUGCUGAAAGCAUCUAAGCACGAAACUUGCCCCGAGAUGAGUUCUCCCUGAGACUUAGAGUCUCCUGAAGGAACGUUGAAGACGACGACGUUGAUAGGC